CGCGGGGUGGAGCAGCCCGGUAGCUCGUCAGGCUCAUAACCUGAAGGCCGCAGGUUCAAAUCCUGCUCCCGCAACCA
rnacentral:tRNA from 2 species